AGGCAGUUACUGAGGUGGGAACUUUGUGGCAAGAAGAGCACAUUAUUUCGCAGCUGCAGGUGGUGUGCUCGAUAAGGGCUGGUGGCCUCUGCCUUCACACCAGCACUGCCACAGAAAGUGCCAUUUGCACUUUCCACAUUUGUGGGAGAUCUCUGCUGGGCUGGAAGUUGAAGGAAGUACGAGUCUAUCAUCAGGCAAAUUAGAAAUUGGCUCAGAACCCCAGGAGCUGGAGGAGGUGUGAUUAAUUCAGUACCUAACAGGGCAGAGCAGUGUAAAAGGAGCCCCUGAAAGUAACUCCAGGCUUUAAGGACCCAGCUUUUUACCUCCCUUCAUCUGCCCCUGCUUUCCAUACAGGCUCUUAGGAGACAGAAAAUAUCCACUGCAAGGAUAUCUUUCCAUGAAGGGGAGAGGACUGGGCUAUGAAAAUACCUAAGAUACCUGUGCUCCUUUCUACUAACAGUUUUCUCAAAGUGUGACCCUGAGCAGGGGCAGGCAGGUUGCAUUUCUUAAUGAGGUCAAAGUGCUGUUUAAUUGGUGUGUGUUGUUUGAAGUGUGGUGCUCUGGUGGUCCCGGUGUCAAACAUCAGUGCCAGAUCAGCUCUGUCCUCAGCUGGAUAUACUCAGAAGAAGCUGGGCAGGUGGAGUUUAUUGUCACAAGACAGUGGGGUUCUCGUGAUAAAUAUCAGGAACUUGAGUGAAAAAAUAGGGAGAAUGUUCUAAGCGAGCUCUGAUGUGGCUGCCCUUGUUUCCCCCAGGAACUAUGGUGGGGUGUACGUGGGGCUGCCGUCGGACGCGGCUGCCAUGGCUCCCAGCCAGACCAGAGCUGCACCCAAAGAUUAGAAGGAAAUAAAGACAUCAAGAUGCCAACAGCCCAAGUCUACUAAGACCAGUUGCCAGUGCUUUGGAGAGAGCUGUCUUUGUGCUGAAGAUUUUGAUAUUUACACAGCCUUCCAGAGAGCAAGAGAGAUCAGAGCACCAAAAAAUCCAAACUGUUGCAAGUUCCAACUACGGGUAAAGCUUAAAGUACAGCGUUGAAUCAGUUUCCUAUGAUAGUUGCAUUAUGGAAACCUCCUGCUGUUCUCCAGUGAAAGAUGAAAUUAGCGAACUCAUGGUGGAUGUUUCUGCACAAGAGCUAACUUUGAUGAUCUGCAACUUAUUUCUCUGUGGCCAUAUUGCUGAUUUCAUCAGCUAUUCCAUUCAGCUAUCAGCUACGCUUCAUAUAUUUUCUCCAACAAUUUUUGAUAGCUUUUAUAUAGAAAACCAUCACUACUGUCCACUCAAUAGUUUCUAUGGUAGGUUCCUGUAAAUUAAUCGUUAUUUUACUUCAGAGUAAUAUAUUUGACAAGUUUGCAUCUUUUGGGGAAUAUUGCAAAUUUUAAUAUUUUUGCUGUGAAAUCUUAAUGAUAGGAUGAAACAAGCAUAAGACCGUAAGGUUCUUUAAAAUUAUUACUGUCCCUUUUAUACCAUGAGACAAAUAUUAGUGUUUAAUUUUCACGUUGUAAAAAGAUGUUGCUCAAGGAAAUUGAUUCAAAUAAGAAUGAUAUACUUCAUUGUAUUAUUUACAUGUCUGUUUAUAUUUUUCUUUAGCUAUAUCUCUUUUAUAAAGCAUCACAUGUAAAAAAAUACUAACAAAAUGAACUAUUGUGUGUUCCAUUCCGUGUAAUAAUAAUAUGUCCUUGCAUAAGGAUGAAGUGAUAGUAUUUUCAGAGAUAGUGAGACUAAACUCCAGUGCUGCAUCCUGCUGACCUGUAGAGAAUUUUUGAUCACUGUAAGAGUUUUGUAUCCCUGUCUCAUCUGUAAGCAUCUCCAGUAUGGCAAAUUGAAACAGAAUGAGUGUUAUUACUACUUUAGCAAAUUGUUGAGGUUUUAAAAUUCAUUAAGUUAAUAGCAAUUGUAAGUUUCACAUAGAACAUAAAGCAGAUUGUACAUUUACAGAUGGCUGAAUGAGUAUUUAAACUAUUAAAGCCUUUUACAUAAUUCUUUAGUCAAACUCUUUUUAAUGGGACUUGAUAUGCCAUACACUUUAAAUAGUGAAAUAAAGAAUCCCCCCAUCUGCACCAUGUUAAUAUAUUACUAUACAUUAAUGACCAUUUUUAAAAUGAAAAGAAAAAAAGCAAACCAUAAAAUUUGGACAUGAAGAUAUAAGCCACUGUGAACCGUGUAGUUCCUGCCCUUUUCACUGAUACCUAUUACUACCAAUGAACUACCAUUGCCUAUGAUUUCCAGUAACUUGCAGCUUUCACUUUCAAAAAGUGAUGGUUUGAUAUGAGGCUUGCAAAAAGAGAUAUUUAAAAGUAUUCCUUGCUUGUCCUCUUUUAAUUAUUUGUGAUAUUAUUUAUUGCUGUUCUCUAGAAAUCUGCUACUUGGGUUAUCAACGAUUUCAGGCUUCCAGCUCCUGAAGACAAACAUGCAUCUCAUUCUUGACAUCGACCUCAAACCAAGACGAAAUAAGCUUGAAGAUUAAGAUGUGGUGUUAAAAUCUCUCUCAGUGUGAAUGAAAGUCUGUAGAUUAUGUCUGCAGAGUCUUGUUCUUGAAAGCCAGGCUGGGGAGGACUCAAGUAGCUCUGAGUGAUAAACAUGCAGGCUUUUCUCCUACCUGCUUACCAUAGCAUAAGGGUAUAGUUUCCACUUCACAUGUCCCACAGAUGGCCGAAAUGGUUUGCCUAGCACAAGUUUAUUUAGUACAAAGCAAUUAGGCCCAUGCCUGACCUGAUCACGAUUGUCUUUCCCAAAGCAGAAAAAGCACCAGUCCUCCUAGGAUACAUCAGUGUUCAGCUUGUACUCAAAAAGCCAACAGCAGAUGCCAGUAAUCAACCUGGUUGUUUAUCCACUUCUAUCCUUCAGUUGCUGGGAAGAAUCAUCAAAAAGGUGGACAGGGCUAAACUCGAGCAUCACUUGUUCUGCUACUGACAUCUGCAACCCUGUGUGUGGGCAGAGGGAGGAAAGAGGUGAUUGCUGAUGAACAGCUCCUCACAGCUGGUGGUGGGACAUUUGCAAAGGGUAUUUUCCGGUUUACAUCAUUGCUUGUUUUUCCUGUGCAGAGCUACAGAGAAGCUUGAAGCACUUUGCAAAAUUGGUCUUUUAAUGUUUCAUCCUCUGAAUGUGUGGAAGGUACAGUGGUUUCUUAAUAUUUUUGUUCCUCUGUGUCAUUUAAACUCAAAAGUUUACUGACCAGCUGACAAAUGUGCAGCAUCACGGACUGGAACCUCUAAAAUACACAUACAUUCAUUUAUGCUAUGUGGGCAUGUACCCAUCAAACUAAAGAGCUAGGGCCAUGCCCUUGUCUUCAAUUUGCAGACUCUUGUCUUUUGUUUUCCCAAGGAUCCAUGAGUCUAGAUACUGUGUGACAGGAUGCUGUAUUCUCUCCUGGCCAAAUUCCACUUAGGGAACUGUUUUCUGCUCAUGAAAAUUCCUCUAUGGUGAGCAGCCUUUGUUAAUAAAAGAACGUGUCAUUUCAUGGAGAAAUGAGUGUAUCUGCUCUUUCAAAAUUUACAAUCUAUGGAUAUUUCUGUUAGGAGGAGAAACAGAAAAGAAACCCUCUAUGCCAGCUGCCAGCUGUGCAUGUGACGGCAUCUUUGGAAAAUAUUUAGGCACUCUAAUGAUGGUUCAAUGGGAGAACUGAGAACAGAACACAAGGAGCCAUUGAAUGACAGAGUUAUUAAUAAGGAAUAUACUUUGGUUUUGUCAAAACAACUUGAAUUACCAUUUGUGAAAAAUAAAGAUUUAAAUGUUGGGGCUGUAA